rnacentral:rRNA from 1 species
GACGAACGCUGGCGGCGUGCUUAACACAUGCAAGUCGAACGGAAAGGCCCUGCUUUUGUGGGGUGCUCGAGUGGCGAACGGGUGAGUAACACGUGAGUAACCUGCCCUUGACUUUGGGAUAACUUCAGGAAACUGGGGCUAAUACCGGAUAGGAGCUCCUGCUGCAUGGUGGGGGUUGGAAAGUUUCGGCGGUUGGGGAUGGACUCGCGGCUUAUCAGCUUGUUGGUGGGGUAGUGGCUUACCUAGGCUUUGACGGGUAGCCGGCCUGAGAGGGUGACCGGCCACAUUGGGACUGAGAUACGGCCCAGACUCCUACGGGAGGCAGCAGUGGGGAAUAUUGCACAAUGGGCGGAAGCCUGAUGCAGCAACGCCGCGUGCGGGAUGACGGCCUUCGGGUUGUAAACCGCUUUCGCCUGUGAUGAAGCGUGAGUGACGGUAAUGGGUAAAGAAGCACCGGCUAACUACGUG